ensembl:lncRNA
CCGGCCCCGGCACCGCCCGCGCCGCGGGGCGAGGUGAGGUGAGCGCCCGCUCCUGCCAUGGCGGCGCUGCGGGACGUCUUUCGGCGGCCUUUCGGCGGCCCGCUCGCGGUGGGUUUCAGUUCCCCGGGCAGCGAGCCGACGGCAGCGGUGGUGUCCGUCAGCGCCUGUCCUGCGCCCCCGGCCUGCCGAAGAUCCCUUUGGAAGCGAAAAAACUGCUUUGAAGCAUCUAGGGGAAGCAGGCGGGAAUUUACUAUAAAUUUCUCACAGGUACAGCAGCUCUACAGAAGCAGCUUAAUUUCCCCCCGGCCGGCUGCAGGCAGUCAGCACAGCCACUCACCUCCGCGAGGCGCUGCCCCCCGAGCUCUGCUGCUGGCCGCGCUCGGUGCGGGACACGCGGUGCAGAAAGUGCCAUUUAGGAGUCUGCGCCAUACGGAUCGCGGGGCCAUUAUAAAGCCGGGCUGUGUCUGUGCUGUGCAUUCUCUGAGCUUGUUGGAGUGUGUUUGUUCACCUUUCUGUUUCGAGCGGUAGUGCGAAAAUCAUCGUUAACUUCAACACGCAUAAUUUGUGUUUCCUUUUCAGACCCUUUGUGGCGUAUCAUAAUGCUGGCCAAUCUCGUAUUUUUUCUUUGCCUGGCUAUUAAUGCUGCUUCUUAGCUUCUUCUCAUUCUCUAGUCAUACACGAUCCUGCCCCUCUGUGCUGUGGGGCCUCACCUGGAGUACUGCUUACAGAUGUGGAGUCCUCAGUACAGGAGAGACACGGACCUGUUGGAGGGUGUCCAGAGGAGGGCCACAAAAAUAAUCCCAGGGAUGGAACACCUCUCCUGUGAGGACAGGCUGGGAGAGCUGGGGCUGUUCAGCCUGGAGAAGGCACUGGGGAAACCUGAGAGUGGUCUUUCAGUAUCUAAAGGGGGGCUGUAAGAAGGAAGGGGACAGACUUUUUAGUAGGGUCUGUUGUGAAUUGGAAUUUCACACUUGGAAUUUCAUCACCCCAAUAGAAAUCAGGAGAGGGAAAUUGGUUUUGUGUGCCUCUGCAGAUAGGUCAGCAGUGGACAGGACCCAGUGACAGACAUAGAAGAGUUUGGUGCUUCUGACAACAGUGGAGCGUCGCUGAGGAUCCCAGAGCUGUGACUGCAGUUUUCCAAUUCGCAGGCUGUCUUGGCAGUAGAGGAAAUGUGAAGAAGAGCUAUGUGUCAUUUGAAUAGUGCUGUCAUCUUACCAAUUACUACUAUAGCUGCUGUACACAGGUGUUGCAAGGUCAUACCUUCACCCAUCCGAGGCAAAGACAUGAUGUUAUCUGCCUGAAAAUAUCUGUCUGGGCAAUCCUUCAACGAGACUUCUCCCACACAUCAAUCCAACUUUCUUUUUUCUCCUGUAACUUCUUGCUUCUUUCAUGUUGCACAAGAGGUUCCCUAAAACAUUAAUUUUUCCUCCUCCAGAUUCCUACAGUAAGUACCACUUUGUCUACAAAAUCCUUCUCAGUAAUUAAGAAGCUCAUAUGUUACAACCUCUGCUUGGUAUGAUAAUUACCCUACUGCUAGCUCUCCCUGUUGACUGUGUUCAUCUUCCAUCCAUUACCAUUAGCUUGAAUUGAAUAGAAUUUGGAGUGGUAUGAAGUGCCUCACACAGAGAAGAACCAGCAUUUUGAAGGACCUGCAGGUGCUGCUACCUGAAGGUUAGUUUAACAACUGAAAAUACUCUAUCGUGAAUGGCCUCAAUAUAUCAUUCAGGUGGUAUUCUUAAAAUUAUAUUUUAAUCUCAAUUAAAAUGUGAAUAUCAGUUAUUUAAUGCAACCUAAAGGAAGUUUGUUUUGUUGAAAAAAAAAAAAAAAUGAUGAUCAGCCAUAGUUCUGGCCUGUAAUAAGUUCAAGUGUAUGAUGGCUUCCUGUGCUCAGGCUCACCAGGAAGGGGAAUCAGGACAGCGCACGUUGGCAGGUGGGAGUGUAAAUCCGGGUAGGAGGAGAACUCGUGUCAGGAGUGUGUCAAAUCAAUCUCUUCCAAGCGGGAUCCUCAAAAACCUAAAGGUUCAAAUUUGAAGUGUAUUCCACUCUGUGGAAAAAAAUAAUAAAUGAGAGCAUCAAUAUCUGCACUCUUCAGCUUUAAGCCUCCCAGGGGUACAGGCAAUCAGGCUGAUAAGUUGUAAUUUCACACCCUUUGCACCAGCUGCACUUAACUCAUCUGAUUUUUACCUAUGUCACCAGUAGCACCGCAGGGAAUUAGAAUGAGAGAACUAUUAAAAGCCUAAUGUAUUUUUUUGUAUGUAGGUUGUUUGCAUUUCUAAUGCCUAUUUUGAAGCCUUGUGUGAAGUCGAAAGUGGAGGUGAUAAUUCAUUAGCAAGCAAAAUCUAGAAGUAAGGUAUUAUGAAAAAAAAACCUUUUAUGGAGGGAAGACGGAGAACUUAAUGCUCAAGGUAAACAGUUUCAAUUAGGAAGUUCUUUGAAGUAUGAUGAGAGCAGUCCAAAAAGAAUCAUACAGACUGCCAAAAUAAAGACCGAAAAACAUUGAAAUUUAUGGAGCUUUUAAGGGCCAUUAACUUGAAGGCCGUUGCCUUUCUUUUUUCUUUCCCCCAUUCUAUUUUAAGAAAUGAAAAGGUGUUUAUUUUUCCCUUGGUCAAUUAGUCUGCAAUAGGAGAAAGGUAGAGAGACAUAUUUUGUAGAUGCUCUGAGAAUUUUAGGCAGAGAAAACUCUUCUUCUGACUGAGUUUCUCUCUUAAAAAAAUAAAGUAUAUUAAGAGCUGUAAACAGUCAGGAAUUGUGCUAUACGGAGUAAUUUUAGGUUAGGAAUAUAUGUGUCUAGAAUGUUAGGUAAAACUUUAAUCACUGAAUUUGUGGGGUAACUGUGGAAUACAUUUAUACCUUUUGCUUCUCUGUUAGAAGUUUGGAAGUUAGAUGUCCUGUUGAUGGAAGCUGUUUAGAAGUUAGAUGCCUGAAGCUUGGCAGCACUGCACACAAAACAGGAUGUUGCUGCCCACAGGUCCAGUGUCUCUAUCUUUGAGUGGCAGCAUUUGAUUUUUGCAGGGACAGUAAAGAGCAAGUGUUGCAGGGACUUGGUGUCUGAGCUGGGGGGAUAAUUACAUAUUUCUGCCCCCACCCAUAAUUAUCUCAGGAGGCAUUUCACCUCCAGGGUUUGGAAGACCUUUCUGUGUACUUGCGCUAGCACAGUGUGGAUGGGAAGAGGAAAACAACCAAGGCAGCCUGCACACAGAGCCUGAAUUAUUACCUGCCAGUGGGGCCAGCAGCUCUCACUGCUCUCCCAAGGCUGCAGAGCAGCAGGGAUGCUGCAUGGUGCUGGGUGGGACCACCUCCUGCAGCACGGCUGCUGCCUCACAUGGAGGGGGUAGGGGGGGGCGAAGCAGGACACUGCAAAGAUGGAGGGAGAAAAUGAGCUGUGCUGCUGCUGUGUGUGUGCCUGCCAGCCCUGGCCAUGCCUGCUGUCACACUUGGUUUUCCGUAAAAUUUGAUUGUUUUUGAUCACCGUUAUUGGUGUGAAAUGUUGUACCCUAAUAAGCUACCAGCAAAAUGCCUGUUGUCCUUAGCCCAACUGGAUCUAGCCAUUUAAAAUGCUUUAGAAGUCACAGCAUAAAUAUCAAAUGUUGAUAGACGCAAAGAAAUAAACUCUGGCAAUACCUGUGGUAUGCCUUCAACCAUAGUGGUGAAUAACAUUAAAAUCUCACUGCCCAGCACUCGUACCAAAAAUCAGGAUGCCUGUGUUUGGCUCACUUGUAGGCUGUGGCAACAUCAUAGUGUUCCCUCUUCAUGUGCCUAAUUCUUCACAUAGUUUGAGGACAAUAUGAACCAGAAUACAUGCAGUCCUUCACCUGUCUAUCACUACCUUCUUUCCUGCUCUCGGGAGAUACUGUUGAUCCUUCUUUCUCUUACAGAUUUGUCCAAACUUGUUAGCACUGGCAAAAGUAAUCUCCAUUUCCUCCUGGCUACUUGACAAAAGGAGGACAACAAACUUCUCUCUGCUGACUAGGAAUACAGUAAACAUUCAUGAUUUCAAGUAUGGUGAUAAGAGCGUAUUGCACCACAGUGCCAUCUCAUAGCAGUUUGUUCAGCUGAGCAUUCACUGGGCCAGCACAUCACCACUGUCAGCAUGCAAAUAAGCUCUCCCAUGCAGCUGAGAAUGAAGGCCAGAAGCCUGAAAAUAACCCAGCAAAGCAUGCCUGUUGUAAGGAAUGAGAGGUACUUGCCAACUUUUAAUCACUGGGCUUAGUGACUGGCAUGACAACAUUUUUCUGAUGGGGAAAUUAUUUACAGGCAGUUGGAAGGUCAGGAGGCUGUCUGAAACACUCAAUGGCAAAAUUAGAGUUAGCCUUUCAGUCAACCAUGUUGCUCAGGUACCUGCUUGGUGUUCCAGUGUUAACGUGCAGUACAUUCGAAGUGCAGCCACCUUCACUGUAUGUUUCAGUGUACAAAAUUACCUUCUAAUUAAGAAAUAAGUGCAGUGGUGGGGAGGAUUCCACUUUGAGUCUCAGCUUGGCUGUGAGACUCAGUGCAAGCCGUGUAGUGGGCUGUUAGAGUGGCUUGCUUGAUUCUGUUUCUUGUGUCAAACGUUUGUCAGUGGUGAUGAUGAAUAGUAGGGAAAAAUACUGAAUAAGCCCUAAGUGAUUAAUUAGAAUAUUAGUUUAGUAUUUCUGCUGCCAGACAGUCAUGCAGUCCCUGGCAUUACUGCAUAAGGUUUAAAAUGUUGAGAGAGGAAGAGGAAUUUCAAAUAUGUUUAUUCUUAUCCAGAUAAUCUCUGAAUUUAAACUCAAUAAAGCUUUUCACCAGAGUGAGAUGUUAACUAGCCAAUACUUUAUUCACACUUCAGUUAAACAACGUUUACCUCUGGUGAAAGGCACCCAAACUGUGCUACUCUGUGCUACCCUGUUUCUGUGGAAACUGUGUGUUGGAGUGGAAUAGGAAUAAUGGUGGAGAAAAGGAGAGCAGUAGCGUUUUGGCUGAAGUCCUGUUGGCCAGCCCCCGUUUCAGCUGGGAUAAGUCAGCCAAGCAAGGCCUCAGUGCUGGAGCCCCGACAGUUCUUUUUCCUCCUCCUCCUAACUUGUGCCGAGGGAGGAGUCUGCUUCACAGACACCAUUCAAAAAGUGCUUGCUAAAGCAAUUUAUCUGUAUUUUCCCCUGGUUUUUCAUGCAACAAGAAUUUUAGCCAGUCAGUAAUGUUAGUCAAUAGCUGCCUACACUGGUAGGGUAAGGUUUGUUCUGAAAAGAACUUCCAUUGACGCGUAUGUUGCUCAGCCACUGCUCUUCUAAAAAGCACCACUGUAUUCUUGGAAAGAAACUCUCCCAAAACUGAAAAGACACAUUUUUCAUCAUUCAGGGGUUUCCAAAAUAUGCAUAUGUUUGAUGGAUUGCCAGGAAAGACAGACAGCCUUGACCAGUAAACUCAGCUCUGUAUUCUCUCUUCUCUGGUAGCUGUUUCACUGACAUUCAUGUUGUUUUCUCCUGGAAUAAGGUAUCUUUCUUAAAAAUAAAAUAUGAAUUAACAGAAAAAUAUAUUUUAUUGUUUUUUCUGUUGUUAUGAUUUCUGUUAAUCAGUGAUUGCCUGCUACCUGUGUGUGUGAGUCAGAGUGAAAAAUCUAACGUGGUGAAGUUGUGAUUGAUGUCUUAAUACUGUAGAAGUAUCUGGUAGGGGUGGGGGUCUAUUUCUUCCACAUACACACAAAAAAUGACUGGCUUCUGAUUGUAGUCUGAGGCUCUGGACUGGAGGACCAGGGCAUUUUGCUGCCUAGCCUCAGUAUACACAUAUUGCUACAGAGGACCGAAAGGCAUUGUGCAGCACUCAUGGUAACCAACAUUCUGUAAAGAAUUCUAAAUCACUGCAGGAGAGGAGACAACAGAAAAAGCCGUUUGCAAGAAUGGAGAGUAUGGGAGAAAAUCAAUUAAGGAAACAGCAUUAUCUUUUCAAAUUCAGGUGUAAGUGUGUGCAGACCCAAGAAUUUCAACAGUUUCUUACAGGUGGAAGCUAAAGGGAAGAGCCUAGAUCAUGGUGAUGUUGGCUGUACAUGUUCGUGCUUCUGUGUGGAAUCAGGGACACCUGCUUCUUGGUCUGCUGCUGCUUCAGCUUCUUGGUGAGACGUUAAAAUCUCUUCAAGUCUCUCUCUAGUCCCCUUUGUGUGCCAGAGUUGGCAGUAGAACAUGAGGAACUUUAACUGCAUCGGUUCAAGGAACCCUGUGGCCCUUUCCCAUUGUGUGCCUGUAGUGCAUUGUGCUAUACAUGAAAGAAGCAGGAAGGGAAUAGAGAGAAAAGCAGGCAGUUGGUAUCAGGCACUGGUGCUGCCUUUAGUCUUUUCUUUAGUAACGUUUCCAUAAACUACAGCUGAGUUGCAGUUCAACCGAACUUUUAAGUUUUGUUUGAUUUGUAACCCAUUCUACAUUU